GUGUUCACUUCAGCAGCACAUAUACUAAAAUUAGAAUGGUACAGUGAUACAGAGAAGAUUAACAUAGCCCCUGUGCAAAGAUGGCAUGCAAAUUUAUGAAGCAUUUCAUAUUUUU
rnacentral:snRNA from 1 species